GCUAAGUUCCAGGAUCCUUGGGCAUGUGUUUUAACCCAGUCAGUUCAUUGGGAAGGAAAGUGAUGUUUUUUGUUUUUUCAAAUUAGAAAGUGAUGCAGGUUCAUUGUUUUAAAAAAGAGAGAAAAGGAAGUAAGGAAGGGGGAGGAGGAGAAAUUAAAGAAGGGAUGGCAGUUCCCGUCUUGGCGCAGUGGAAAUGAACCCGACUCGGAGCCAUGAGGUUGCAGGUUCCAUCCCUGGCCUUGCUCAGUGGGUUAAGGAUCCGGUGUUGCUGUGAACUUGGUGUAGAUCGCAGAGGCGGCUCGGACCUGGCGUGGCAACAGCUCCAAUUCGACACCUAGCCUGGGAACCUCCAUAUUUAGGGAACCUUCCUAAAAAGACAAAAGACAAAAGGCAAAAGACCAAAAAAAAAUAUAAAUAAAUAAGAAAGAAGGAUGGAGGGAGGAGAGAGAAACUAAAAUGUUACAGAGGAAAUAAGCUACUGUCUCCCCGUGUGGAGGCCACAGCACGCAGUAUACACUGCUGUCUUCCAGGCUUUUCUCUGUGCCUGAACAGACAUGAGCAGGGCCCUUUAGCAGCGUCUCCCUGUAUCUCCAACACUCCAGCCCAGCCACGUUCUCCUGGGCGCCUGCUGGGUGCUGGGCCAGGGGAAGGAGGGGGCCUCGGGUGAUGUGUACCAGGUGUGAGGGUUACUCCACCCCAUCUCCCCUCAUCCCGGUCAGCGGACCUGCUGGCCCCCGUUGCACUAACAAGAAAACUAAGACCUGGAAAAGUUAAGUCAUUUGCCCAAAGUCAUAGAAAGUGCAGGUGGUAUCAGACCCAGCUUUUAUCUGGGAUUCCAGCAAGUCCUCCAAGACCGAGUCUAGAUCAAAACAGGCUUUCAGGAGUUCUCAUCGUGGCGCAGUGGUUAACGGAUCCGACUAGGAACCAUGAGGUUGCCGGUUCGAUCCCUGGCCUCGCUCUGUAGGUUAAGGAUCCGGCGUUGCCCUGAGCUGUGGUGUAGGUCGCAGAUGAGGCUUGGAUCCGGCAUGGCUGUGGCUGUGGCUCCGAUUAGACCUCUAGCCUGGGAACCUCCAUAUGCCGUGAGUACAGUCCUAAAAAGCAAAGCAAAAAAAAAA
rnacentral:lncRNA from 1 species